rnacentral:tRNA from 1 species
GCCCCGUUAGCUCAGAUGGUAGAGCGCCUCUCUCGUAAAGAAGAGGUCGCCGGAUCGAUUCCGGCAGGGGGGG